rnacentral:lncRNA from 1 species
CUGCAAUGGAGUGAGCAAUGCAUGCUGUGGUGGAAUUCAGAACUGAAUGGAUGUGUUGAUACAGGAGGUGUUCUGGGCAUGAUGCCUGUUCGAUGGCAUGAGGAAAUGGCACCGACUCAGGUCUGAGCAUUCACUCCAAGCUGCAGCACAGCCUCAGGGUUUGAUAAGCUGCGUGCUGCUGCUGAGCCUUCCAAGGAGCUCACCAACAAGAGCGUCGAUUACAGUGCAUGCAAAGAAACCACCUGCGAUCUGAGGCCAGCAGCACAUGUGAAAGCUGGCUGAGGACACCUGGGCAGAUGAGAGCAAGCAGAGCAUGGAGUAUGCUGGCCCUUCUCCACGUGGGAGCAGUUACUUAGGAUAAAUCUGGGAAACAUGGUCCUUGAUAGCAAGGUCGGCUGAGAGGCACUGAGUCAGCAGCACGAUGUGGAGAUGAAACAUACCUGCAGAAGGGCGUUUUGGAAAGUCCUGCAAUUCUGCCAGAACUGCGCGUGAUGGAGGAUAAUGAGUCCUUCUAAAAAUAGCAGCAGCACCUCCUCAGAGGGUUACUGGGGCAGCUGCUGGAGCUCAGAAGAGGCUGUAAUUCAUAUGCUGAAGCCACACAGGGACGUUUGGGCUUUGUAAUUCCUGUGCCAUAAAGCAAAAGAAGCAAAAGUUGUAUCUGAAGAGCCCACAGAAAUUCAGAGGAUGAGGACAUUCCACUCCUGCUGUGCUCGUCAUGGAAGGAAGCACCACUGUAACCCAGGGGAUGGCACUGAGGAUUCUGUUGGCGCACACAGCACACCUUGCAGAAUAAAACCCAGAAUGGCAGCAGAGCAGCUGAUGGCCGUGGGAGCGGCUCAGCCUCACCGAGGGGUUCUGUUUCCUGGGACAAGAACGGGUGCAGCCUCCAGAGCUCCACUGCGAUAAUGCAAGCCAUGGGCACGGGCUGGGAGUGCAGCGUGACCCCGUGGGAACUUCCUGAGGGAAAGCAAGUUUGAGGGAGGGGCAAAGCGCAGGUUCAGCCCCUCUCUGCACUCACAGUGCUCCUCACAGCAGCAUCUAUACAGAAGCACUCCGCAUUUCCCAGGGAGAGGCCCUUACCGCAGCACCCCGUGC